GACUCUUUCUGCAACGGACCCCAGACCAGUAACAUAACAAAGAAAAAAAUACGAGACACGAUACACAAACGCACCCUUACACACACACCAUGGACCUCUAUGUCCAGCACACAAAACACACACAGGACCUGUCCAGCAUUUACACCCUAUGCCGCCCUAUGGCUAUGCCUACGGCCAGUGCAAGAAAUUUGAUUUCGCAAUCAAUCGCACAUGUGUGUUGUUUGUACACAAAGCUGACGCUGAGCACGUGUGUAAUUCUACCACACAUCUCGAACAGUCGAACUACACAUUUGCAAUGUGAACUUAAUUUAAACGAAGAAGAAUUUCCGAUGGCGACGAAGCGCGACAGCUUUUCAAAGCUCUCUAUUUUACAGAAGAGGAAAAUGCUGCAACAAAUGAAGAGGCCACCAGUCUACUACGAGCCGGAGUACGGCUCCAGGCCAGCGCCAGGCCCAGUCCCACUCUCAGUCUGAUUAUUGAGUCGAGUUUUGGCGAUUUGACAUCAGCUACGGGUUCGAAGAUUGCAGCAAGCAACGACGUUGUGUUCGAGCAGAUCCCGUUGGUGCAGAGAGAGGUGGAACUUGAAGUGUUCAGUGAAAGCAGUGUUGUUCAAAGAGAGAAAGUACAUCCAUGUACACUACAACAUGAACCCCAUGCAAGUGAAGUUGAGAUUCAAGCAGGUGGCUACUCAACAGAAGUAGAUUUCCCUUUCAAAAAGUCGGAUUGUUACAUUUCUGAAGUCGAUAUUAACUUUAAUUCACCAGAUCAACCCUGAGGAAGAAAACGUCAGAUGGUAUGUUUUGCUGACAUAGAGACAGAGUCUGACUCCUCUCAUUGCUCUGAAGCUGUAUCAUGUACGUGUAGAAGGAACUUCAGCAAAAAGCGAAAUGCAGCCUGUCUGGAAUUAGCGGCAAUACUGAGAAUGAAAUGCUGCAGAAGUUAUUGUCUUCAUAAGAUAUAAAGAAUAGAUGCAAGGCCCGCAGAGGAUUUCAGAACAAGACUCUAGCAGAUCAGAGGCUAUGGAUUUUGCAGUACCUUAUUGAACAUCACAACUUUGUAAACAUGGAUGGAGACUCAUCCUUGGGAUUACUAUGACCCGCUUAUGGAAGAUGGAGUCAGGGUUAGCAGAAGGAUUGGUGACAUCUCGUCCAUCAAAUCACCAUCGUAAAGGACUUUGUUCUUUGUCUGUGAUGAUGUCAAUGGUGUGGCUUAGUGAAUUUGUCGAUAAGUUUGGAGAGAAACUGCCAACCAACAACAAAAUCCAUCUUCUUCAUGCCUUAUACAUGGAAAUGUGUAUCGGAUUAUGAAGGAGGAUGUAGAAGAGCAAGGAGGUUCUGUUUGUAGUCAGCAAUACUUCUUCCGCAAAUGGAGAAUGGAAAUGUCUCAUGUUACCAUUCCAAAGGUAGGUGAUUCUCGUGAACCGGUUUUUGAAAUGCGACAUAUGCACCAAACUGAAAUCUUGCCUAGAGAAGACAACUGGCAGAGAAGAGAGACAAACUUUACUGCAAGAAAGAGAGUCACACCUUUUCCAGCAAAAGUCCAUCUAGGUACUAAGCAGAAAAGGCCUCAACAUCCAUUAUUAAAACUGGGAGAUACGGUUGCAGUCUACUUAGAAGAGUUCAGUAAUGAAUGGCCGCGAGUGAGCAAAGUGUUAAAAAUGACUGGAGACAGUGUGAAGCUGCAUUAGUACUCGGGAUCAGAAACGUCCACGUGGAUAUCGCCUACCACAUCAGUUCGAGGACAGAAGGGUCAGCCGUACACGGGAGAAGUCUCUCUUCAAGAAGUCAUUUCUUUCCCCUACAGUCUCACUAAAACAAACAAAUUACCAUAGGAUAUCCAGCGUCACGUGAAGAAUACUUUGCAUGUUAGGUCUGUAUGAACAUACACUGUAUUCAUACCAAUUUGGAAUGAGUUUGUUUGUCCAGGACUCAAAAGCUGUAUGUCUAUAUGGAAGCCACUUGAAUUAUGUGUUUUUGUGAUAUUACAAUGUACCUAUAUUUUUCCACAUUGGAUAUGGGGAUAAUUUCCAGGGUGUAUCUUCACAUGAGUUUGAUCACCUACAUGUAUCUACAUUUAGAAGAGAUAAAUGCACAAUGAUUGAUAGAGAGUUGGUACCUGAAGUAGGUAAUGAUUUAACUCUAAAUAGACUGGGCUAUUUCUACGCCUAAGAAGACUGGGGGGGGGGCUGAUUCAGCCCCCCUUAUGAUCUCAGCGGUCGAUCGCGCAAUCGCGACAAAAAUUGGCACACGCAUUACCCAUGGCAUUAUCUACAAGACUAUAACAUCAAAU